AACCUUUCUUCAUACUUCUCUAUUGUUUUGAGAUUAGAACUACAUUUGUCACUUAUGAAUUAUUCCAAAACAGUACGCAAUACUACCGUAUUGAUUGAUGCCUUUGACAAUUAGGAAUCUCAUUGAAGUAAAAUUUAGAGCACUUAUUGAUUGUGAACGACGUAACAAUAUUACUGGUCAUGUUAGUUUUCGAUCUUUUUCCGGAUUGACAUCUUUACCUGCUUGCAAUUUACUUAACGGAAUACCAUACAAUCACUUUGUCAAGCAGAACUUGAUACGAUCUGUUGAACUAAGCAAGCGUGGGACUAGCGACAUAGAUUAUGAAUUCUUCUUAGUGCAUUGACGAUUGCGCCGGAGAU
rnacentral:lncRNA from 1 species